rnacentral:lncRNA from 1 species
AGAAGUUAAAAAAAAACAUACAGUAAAGUGAUUAUCAUAAUCCUAAUUAUCCUCUAGGCAAUGCAGAAAAGAAAAAACAUAAGGAUAAACAUAUUGAGAUUUGCUCUUGCUCCAGCACAAUUCCCUGAAAGGCUUCUUCUAAGCCUGGUAUCCUGGGAGUGGCAGUGUUUUCAGCGUGGCAGACAGAGCAGUCAGGAAGCUGGGAGCCCAAACAGCGUGAGACAAAGCCACAAAACAGAGGCCGCGCAUCAGUCGUUAUCUUGCUCCUUUCCUCCUAGGACAUCC